UCAAGGUGACCCGAAAUAGUAAAAUGGUUUUCGGAUGAUUACUCAAGAACGCAUACGCUUAGGAUCAUGAAACUUCAUGGGUAGAUUGAUCAUGACUCGCAGAUGACCCCUAUUGAUUUUGAGGUCACUAGGUCAAAGGUCAAGGUCACGGUGACCCGAAAUAGUAAAAUAGUUUCCGGAUGAUAACUCAAGAACGCAUACGCCUAGGAUCAUGAAACUUCAUGGGUAGAUUGAUCAUGACUCGCAGAUGACCCCUAUCAAUUUUGAGGUCACUAGGUCAAAGGUCAAGGUCACGGUGACCCGAAAUAGUAAAAUGGUUUCCGGAUGAUAACUCAAGAACGCAUACGCCUAGGAUCAUGAAACUUCAUGGGUAGAUUGAUCAUGACUCGCAGAUGACCCCUAUCAAUUUUGAGGUCACUAGAUCAAAGGUCAAGGUCACAGUGACCCGAAAUAGUAAAAUGGAUUCCGGAUGAUAACUCAAGAACGCAUACGCCUAGGAUCAUGAAACUUCAUAGGUAGAUUGAUCAUGACUCGCAGAUGACCCCUAUUGAUUUUGAGGUCACAAGGUCAAAGGUCAAGGUCACGGUGACCCGAAAUAGUAAAAUGAUUUUCGGAUGAUAACUCAAGAACGCUUUUGCCUAGGAUCAUGACACUUCAUAGGUACAUUGAUCGUGACUCGCAGAUGACCCCUAUUGAUUUUCAGGUCACUAGGUCAAAGGUCAAGGUCACAGUGACAAAAAUCGUGCUCACACAAUGGCUGCCACUACAAUGGACAGCCCAUAUGGGGGGCAUGCAUGUUCUACAAACAGCCUUUGUUUCAUCAUGAUUAACUUGAUUGAUUUGAAAUGUCGUCAUCAUUUUUUUGGUAAUUUUAAUCAAUUUUACCUCAGUCUUCUCAUUUCGCUAAACUGGGGUGUAUCCUUAAUGCCUGUUGUUUCGUCAAGUUCAAUCAUGUUGUAAUAUUGCGCUUAUACAAGGCAUGGUUCAGGUGAUGUCUUUGCCUCUGCUUUUUGAUAUACCUAGUACAAGGUAGGCUUGGAAAACAACGGACCCCCAUCUGUAUGCUCUCUGGGUUGUGAUGUUUUCUAAAAUUUUCCAUCUCGGCUAUAAGUUGUUAUCACACUUUCUUUUGCUGAUUUCUUGUCAAAUCCAUGUUUACCGGUAAAUGGUUAUUGUCCAUAGGUGGAUAAUGGUUUCACUACAUCGUCUGAAGAGGAUCGGAAAUGAGAACUUCUGCAGGCUGCUCUGUUAAUCCAGAGAAUACUGUCAUCCCUCAAACUGGACAUCCUCUCCCACUGACUCCCAGAAUUUAGAAGUAUCGCCAAGCGGAAUAGUAAUAAUUAUUGUCUUUUGGUGAAUAGUGGUUUCACUACAUGGCUUGAAGAGGGACAGGAGCAGUGUAGGUGGCAGUGUAGAGGAUCGAUGGAGAGGACCUUGGGCAGAGAUGCAGACAAGGAUUUUGAGGUGAUGGCCCUAUGAAGAUAAUGGAAUGGUCCCAGGACAGCGGUACUCAAUGGAGGAGUUAGAAGAUAAAGUGGAAAAUUUGGAAAUCGCGGUAAACGCAUCCAAUGAGAUAAUUGUUGAAAAGUGUGGCGAGAUGGAAAGUAGACUGAAUGAACUUGAGAAUAAGCACAAGACAGAGAUUGCUAAUAUGAGAGCUGAAUUCAAGAAUGAAAUUGAAGAAAUGUCUGUUGCAAUAAAUAGUUUGAGUUUCCAGGCGUCUCCAAUAUACAGCAGUAGCCAAAUUCAAGGAUCUGGAAGAGGAGGUAGAGCCGCGGAAACGAUUCUCUUGGAUUCUGCUUCUGGGUUAAAACACGGAUCUGGAAGAGCGAGUAGAGUCGUGGAUUUUUGAGUACACGUUGGAAGUGGCUACCGAACCAGCUUUCAAAUGCCGGUAAUACUGGAUGACGUGGAUCCAGAACUCAGGGAGAAAAUACGUCCGCAUGUUCGCAACAGCUUAGACCCUAAGAAAAAGCUUUCGCAGCUACAGUUAAGGUUCUGUGACUGGUGGCUAACUAUCAGCGAUGCUCAGACAGCGAGGAAGGGUACAGCAGGGGCCCUCAGAGAAGCUGGGAUACAUAACAAGAUAUGGUCGAGUAGUUGGUGUCCCGACAUUGUCGGAGACUUCGAAGGAUAUCUUGUUGAAAAGAUCAAACACUGGAUGAAGAAACAGAAGAAAGAUCUUUUGCAAAAGGGCAUUAAGAGGUAAUCGGAUGGUGCAGACCAUUAAAAAGGCUAUAGUGAUGAUUUAAUGGAUGAAAGUGUUUUGUGACAUAGUGUUUUCAUUUUCAUGAUUAUUAUUUCAUUUAAGACAUAACUUAUUUUAGUUGAUAUAUUGGCUGAUUCAGGGUUAAAACACUAUUUCAAAUAACCCUACGGAUAAUUAAAAUUAUGGUUUUAACCCUGUAUCAGCCAGUGACAUUUUCGGGACAAUGUCAUUGGCUGAUUCAGGGUUAAAACCCUAUUUCAAAUAUAUUUCUAUAUAACAUUUUACCAUAACCAAAAACCAGACAAUGUCAUUGGCUGAUUCAUGGUUAAAACCCUAUUUUUAGAAAAUUGAUGUUACAGUUUAUUUUGAUGAUAAAAGUUAUUAAAGUGAUUCAAGUCCCGUCCCUGUUCCACCUCUGUCCCUUGCUGUCCCUUUCCUGUCCCUUUCUGUCCCUUAUCUAUUCCUAUCUCUCGCUAACCCAUCCCUGUCCCUUAUUUGUACCUGACAGAAAGGUACAGAAAACAGCGGCAGGAAAUGACA